UGUGACAAUAAAGAACCAUUUCAGUUACAGGGGAGGUCAACUAAGCCAAUUUAGUUUCACUUAUUCUCCUCCGCAUAAUAACCUUUAUUCGGGAGGAAAUGAACUCAGUGGGCAUAACAGUGCAGUUUAGAUUCCCAGCACACUAAACAAUUUAAUUGCAGAAACACUUGUCUGUUAGUGUUGCAAGCUUCGGAGUCUCGUACGAGGAUUCCAUGGGGACUUCUUUCCUGGAUCUAGGGAGAGAAUUUCUGAAAAGCUGACCCCUCAAAAGGUGUUUAGAUGGCUGCCCUGUGAAAGUCUACUUGGAGAAUUUAUCUGGAACACAGUCAUCAUGAAGAGAAGCAACAGUCCUUUAUAUGCAAGAGGUAAAAGUGUGUCAGAUGAGGCUCUUCACUCCAAAACGGAAGAAGAUGGGAUUUUUGAGGACAUGGAGCCAUAUCUGGUGCGGAGGCUGUCUUGUAGAACUCUUCAGCUGCCUCCGCUGGCUUUCAGACUUGCAGAGCAAGCCGAAUGGGAUAAGAAGACAGAUGCUGACAGCCCGCAACGGCCAACUUCUCUCGCCCUGAGGAUCCCUCCACUGAUUGCAAUCACAGCUGCUGACUCUACCAGGUAG